rnacentral:rRNA from 1 species
CCUACGGGAGGCAGCAGUGAGGAAUAUUGGUCAAUGGUCGGGAGACUGAACCAGCCAAGCCGCGUGAGGGAGGAAGGUACAGAGUAUCGUAAACCUCUUUUGUCAGGGAACAAAGACUGGGACGCGUCCCCGGAUGAGUGUACCUGAAGAAACAGCAUCGGCUAACUCCGUGCCAGCAGCCGCGGUAAUAGGGGGGAUGCGAGCGUUAUCCGGAUUUAGUGGGUUUAAAGGGUGCGCAGGCGGUUUGUUAAGUCAGCGGUCAAAGCCCGGGGGUAAACCCCGUCCCGCCGUUGAAACUGGCAGUCGCGAGUUGGAGAGAGGGAUGCGGAAUGCGCGGGGUAGCGGUGAAAUGCAUAGAGAUCGCGCAGAACUCCGAUGGCGAAGGCAGCAUGCCGGCUCCACACUGACGCUGAGGCACGAAAGCGUGGGUAUCGAACAGGAUUAGAUACCCUGGUAGUC